AUCUGCCGUGGGCGCUGGAGAAUUGAGGGGGGCUGCUCCUAGUACGAGAGGACCGGAGUGGACGCAUCACUGGUGUUCGGGUUGUCAUGCCAAUGGCACUGCCCGGUAGCUAAAUGCGGAAGAGAUAAGUGCUGAAAGCAUCUAAGCACGAAACUUGCCCCGAGAUGAGUUCUCCCUGAGACUAUAAGUCUCCUGAAGGAACGUUAAAGACGAUGACGUUGAUAGGCCGGGUGUGUAAGCGCAGCGAUGCGUUGAGCUAACCGGUACUAAUGAACCGUGAGGCUUAACCUUACAACGCCGAAG
rnacentral:rRNA from 1 species